UACGUAGGUGGCAAGCGUUGUCCGGAUUUACUGGGUGUAAAGGGAGCGUAGACGGCAAGGCAAGUCUGGAGUGAAAGCCCGGGGCUUAACCCCGGGAGUGCAUUGGAAACUGCGCAGCUGGAGUGCAGGAGAGGUAAGCGGAAUUCCUAGUGUAGCGGUGAAAUGCGUAGAUAUUAGGAGGAACACCAGUGGCGAAGGCGGCCUGCUGGACUGUAACUGACGUUGAGGCUCGAAAGCGUGGGGAGCAA
rnacentral:rRNA from 1 species